GGAUGGUUUAUCCACAUGGAUGUUGGGGAGUCUGACUGAUUCCUCCUACUUCAAGUUGCCCUUCUGUGAGAGGGGAUUAAGAAAUCUGCAUUGAGAUCACAGUCCAAGAAAGCAGAGGAGUAAGACACCUUACUUUUGUCUGGUUGCAGGAAUUCAGCUAGAUAGCUAUCCAAUUAUUCUGAACACCUGAAAAAUCAAGGGGAGAUCAAAGAAAAGAGUACCUGCAACUCUACAAACAGAAAAGUGACCAUGUUCUGCCAGUAAGCUGCCAUGCUGGAGAAGCCCACUUGAUAAGGAACCAGCCAGAUUCAGCCAAGAGCCAGCAAGGUACUGAGGAUCUCAUUCCAACAGACGUUGAAGAACUGCAUCCUGCCAGCAACUCUGUGACUGAGUACUACGGGAGUUGGUCCUUCCCCAGUCAAGCCUCUAGAUGAGAAUGUAGUAGCCUCAGCUGACACCUUAAGUGCAGCCUUGACGCAG